AAAGCGCUGAAAAGGCAAACGAACACUCACGAAAACGAACGACGUUUUUUAUCCUUCCCUGGAAACGAAAACAAAACUUACGACAGUAAAAAUGUUUGGUCCCCUUCCAGGAAGUAGGAACCGUUGUGUGGGUUGCAACUUGCAAGGCGAUGCAGAUCCUGAAGUUGACUUGAAAGACAUCUUGUUCUCGGUACCCGGUGACUGUACCCAGCCUCGUCACCGACGAUAUUGAGCCUUUAGUGAUUAGGGUAUUUCCAUAAGUAUUCUUCGGCGAGCUAGCCCAAAACCCCUUCACCGUAGGAUAAAGUUCAAAGGACCUGCUACACAAGUUCAUGGGGGGUUUUGUUUUUCAGGUGGUACCUUCGGGAAUAUGCCCGGACAUCUAGUUGUGGUUUCGAGGAUUUAAGAAUUAAAUGUUCAAACUUGGCCUACUGACUGUACGCAGACGAGGCAGUGAAUGUGGACCUGAAGAUGACAAGGGUUAUAUCAGUACCUUAUCUCACACGUUAAUUUUCAAUUGAAUUCAAACAUGGUAGUUUUUGUCAAAAUGAGCAUUUAUUGGUUGUCAAAAUAUUAAAAGUCAAGCUGUUAA